UACGUAGGGACCGAGCGUUGUCCGGAAUCAUUGGGCGUAAAGAGCGUGUAGGCGGCCACUUAAGUCCUGCGUGAAAUCUUGCGGCUCAACCGCAAGCGGUCGUGGGAAACUGGGUGGCUAGAGUGCGGGAGAGGAGAGUGGAAUUCCUGGUGUAGCGGUGGAAUGCGCAGAUAUCAGGAGGAACACCGGCGGUGUAGACGGCUUUCUGGACCGUAGCUGACGCUGAGACACGAAAGCGUGGGUAGCAAACAGG
rnacentral:rRNA from 1 species